CCCUUAGACGUUCUGGGCCGCACGCGCGCUACACUGUCGAAGGCAACGAGCUUUCCUUUACCGAAAGGUACGGGUAAUCUUUUGAAACUUCGUCGUGCUGGGGAUAGAUCCUUGCAAUUUUUGAUCUUAAACGAGGAAUGCCUAGUAAGCGCAAGUCAUCAACUUGCGUUGAUUACGUCCCUGCCCUUUGUACACACCGCCCGUCGCUACUACCGAUUGAAUGGUUUAGUGAGGCCUUCGGAUCCGCGACUCGUUUGUGGAGAAGUUGGACAAACUCAGUCAUUUAGAGGAAGUAAAAGUCGUAACA
rnacentral:rRNA from 1 species